UCCAAACUUUCGGACCGUGUGUAUAUAUGCUGAAUCUACUAAGGAUAUUAUCUUGUCGUGCCGAAAUGAAGAGUCAAACAGACGACCCUACAUCCGGCUUGUGUUUUCGCAUCGGUGGACCAGAAAGGGUUGCAAUUAUGAAAGGGUUUAGUAUACCUACAGGUGGCGUUUAAAUCCAGUAAGAAGUCAUUUACACGGAACUUCAAACGUUUCACGGCGGUUUGAGAAAAAAAAAGUUUAUUUUGGCAUUACAUUCGCAGUCUAAAUUCAUUGGAUCAAUGUUUUUUUUUUGCUUAGAUGGGUGGACGAGCGCACAGCCCACCUGGUGUUAAGUGGUUAAUGGAGUUACAACGGCUGCCCCACCCUUCAAACCGAAACGCAUUACUACUUCACGGCAGAAAUGGGCAGGGUGGUGGUACCCACCCCCGCGGACUCAGAAGAGGUCCUACCACUAGUAAAUGUGUGGUAUUCCUGUAUUAUUUUUAUUAGUUUUGAUAAUUGUCAGUACGCACAAUUGGGUAUUAGCACAGUACUUCAGAAACAGUCUGUAUUUGGGCUCAGAAGGUAGAAAACUAUUUUAUAAGAGUCUUCAUUGUCAAUAUCAGUAGAUGCGUUCAGAUUAUGAUAUAUUUGAGCUUUGGCUAUAUUUCUUUGGUAACAUUUUAGCGUCAGCUAGAAAGAGCAACACCCUUUUAAAACAUUAAAAAGAAUCCGAGCCUACAUUGAGCCGGGGAGUCGCGCGACAUUUCAAUUAGACCGAUUGCUUGCUCAGCGUCGGGCCUACGACAAAUAGCGGCUUUGUGCGCCGAGUGUCGCCUCUCGCGUCUGUCGAGGGCUCAUCAUCAGCCAAUAUGCUGAUGAGAUUGACGUAUACGAGAAGGUUUGUGAGUUAAAGCUGUGGAAAUGCGCAAUGCACCUAUGAAUUUUACGUGCCGGACUUGCGGCUGUUCGAUCAUCACUAGAGUCGAACAUGUCAGUACGAUAAAGACUCAUAUGAUUGCUUUUCUGCUGUGCAUAAUAGGGUGUAUACCAUGCGCUUGCCUACCUUACUGCAUGGAUAGUUGUAGAAAUACUGUUCAUUACUGUCCAAACUGCAACACAGCUCUUGCAGUCCCAGCCUCUUCGUAAUACAAUUGCAGUACAAUAUUAAUCCAUUUCAGUGGAGGUUCUCUUUUCUCUUACUGUUAGUAUAUAUAGUAUCUCCCCUUGAGAUCUUAUCCUUGUUUAACCUAUCCAAUAUGAAACAAUAAAUAAUGUUCAUGCGGAUAACCUA